GUAGGUGGCAAGCGUUGUCCGGAAUUAUUGGGCGUAAAGCGCGCGCAGGCGGUUCUUUAAGUCUGAUGUGAAAGCCCACGGCUCAACCGUGGAGGGUCAUUGGAAACUGGAGAACUUGAGUACAGAAGAGGAAAGCGGAAUUCCACGUGUAGCGGUGAAAUGCGUAGAGAUGUGGAGGAACACCAGUGGCGAAGGCGGCUUUCUGGUCUGUAACUGACGCUGAGGCGCGAAAGCGUGGGGAGCAAACAGGAUUAGAUACCCUGGUAGUCCACGCCGUAAACGAUGAGUGCUAAGUGUUAGGGGGUUUCCGCCCCCCUUAGUGCUGCAGCUAACGCAUUAAGCACUCAGCCUGGGAGUACGACUGCAAGGUUG
rnacentral:rRNA from 1 species